rnacentral:rRNA from 1 species
GACAGAGGAUGCAAGCGUUAUCCGGAAUGAUUGGGCGUAAAGCGUCUGUAGGUGGCUUUUCAAGUCCGCCGUCAAAUCCCAGGGCUCAACCCUGGACAGGCGGUGGAAACUGCCAAGCUGGAGUACGGUAGGGGCAGAGGGAAUUUCCGGUGGAGCGGUGAAAUGCGUAGAGAUCCGGAGGAACACCGAGAGCGAAGGCAGUGUCCUGGCUGGUGACUGACGCUGAGGUGCGAAAGCUAGGGGAGCGAACGGG